rfam:Cricetulus griseus cell line CHO-K1, whole genome shotgun sequence.
GGAGAGAUGGCUCAGUGGUUAAGAGCACUGACUACUCUUCCAGAGGUCCUGGGUUCAAUUCUCCGAGUAUCUCCA